rnacentral:rRNA from 1 species
AGUUGGAAUCGCUAGUAAUCGUGGAUCAGCAUGCCACGGUGAAUACGUUCCCGGGCCUUGUACACACCGCCCGUCACACCAUGGGAGUUGGUUCUACCCGAAGGCGUUGCGCUAACCCGCGAGGGAGGCAGGCGACCACGGUAGGGUCAGCGACUGGGGUGAAGUCGUAACAAGGUAGCCGUAGGGGAACCUGCGGCUGGAUCACCUCCUUUCUAAGG